rnacentral:lncRNA from 1 species
CGUUUCCACCACGUCUUCUAUAUUCACGGUGCAUUCUCCGCAUGGCAUUCUCCUACUUUUACUCUGAGAUCCUCGACCACGCCUCUUUUACUUGGCUACCCGAUGAUUACUUCGUGAUUUUUUUGCAUAACUCUCCAUUCUCCAUCUAUAAAAAAUUGUUUAUCAUCUACUAUAAGGGGGUAAUUAUUCUCUCACUCUUUGAACUUGCCAAUUAUUAUCUGCUUUGUUUUAUCUAGGUUAUUCACUUCGGCCUCAUCUCCAUGCUGGAGGGGUUGGUAACGGCCCCACUCUGCCCGGUAAAAUUUGCUCCC